UCUGUCCGCUAACGUGCACGCUGUUUGACUCGAGCCUUAGCCUUGUAACUCAGCACGAAGCACGAGUGGCUCACCUGCAAACAGGUCCUCACCAACAUCAGCGAUGACAGCGCUUCACCUCUUCGUCGUCGUGCUCACGGUGGUCACGGCAGUUGCUGAGUACUCCCCGCCGUACCCGACUGUCGGUAAGGUAUAUAAACCAACCGAGUAUAAACCUACCUAUGCUCCAGACUACAAAAAGCCCGAGUACCCAAGUAAACCCGCUUAUCCUCCCGUGUAUGACGGUAACCAAGACUACAAGAAGCCUGAGUACCCAAGUAAACCGGCUUAUCCUCCAGUGUAUGACGGUAACCAAGACUACAAGAAGCCCGAGUACCCAGUGUAUGAAGAUAAACCCUAUGGAGAGAAAUCUACUGGGGCAGAUGUCAGGUCAGCAAUAGAUGCUGUCGGAGUUUUGAUAACCAAGAAGGACGAGCUGUAUACCAACUUGGACAUUUACGAGACUCUCAUUCAAGUUGCUGCGGAGCGUCUCAACCUCAUCAACCAGAGAGAACUCCCAGCAGUCAGACUGGACAUCUCUCAGACAGACGCUUCUAUUACUCUUUUAGACCAAGAGGUCAACACACUGCGGGACCGCGCAGCCCGUGCUGACGUCACAGCAACCGCAGCCCUUGCUUCCGCCAACGCCACCAGUGACGUCAUUAGGCAGCAGCGCGCCCUGGUGGCGCAGAUCUCAAAGAACAACACGGACGACGCCCGCCGCAUCGCUCAGUUCCAAGGCGACCUGAGGAACUUGGAGGCUUACUUCCUGAAAGAACUGGACACACAGAUCGGCCAGCUGACCUCUCUGUUGGCAAAGGAGCGACAGAACCUCAAGACCGUCACCGCCUUCGUGGACGGCCGCAAGUGUGAGUAUGGCUACGUUGCAUUGACGAGUAAUGCCGACACCGCGUCAGUGCAGUUUGUGACAAAGUUCAACCAGGCUCCAAGUGUUGACAUCGUCCUCUCAGGAUACGCUUCGUUCCUUAAUGUCCGGUUUGCACCUCGCGAUAGUUAUCCACCCGGCAACAACUACCCACCUCAGUCCACCUAUGGUGAAUAUCCUAAGGGAGACGACUCGUCGUACAAGAACGAAGUGCAGAACGUCCAGGUGGUCGUCUCUGACGUCACGGAAAAAGGGUUCACGGCACGGGUCAUCAACUCAAGUCCAGUAAACUUCUACUUCGGGCAGGCCACUGCCAAGUACGUGGCGUGUCAGAACCUUAACAGCGAGGUCUACUAGUAGACUUCCUGUCACCAUGACACUAGUUUUCAAGGCGAACCUGUCAGCCGAAAACUGUUCACCUCUAAUUUCCAGCGGAUGUUUCAUGGCUCACAGACAUGUUCAGCCUUUUCAUUUUUCCUUAAGUUUUCGUCUAAAUCAAGCAAUUUUGUUUACGUCUGUUUAUACACAAGCGUUAACUUGUGCAUUUUGUAAAUAUGCAACCUCUGUGGCUCUUUUAACUAAAUGUAAUUAGCUCUCUUCCUUGUUACAAAGAAAGCAGAGUGUAUUGAUAACCUUGACUUUAUGCUGAUGAAGCUGUCUGUAACAUUUAUGAAGGAGAAGAGCGCUAAAGAUGGUGAUGAUAGUUAACUGUCUUAUAUUUGAACAGGAAAAAAAAAAUGAAAGCCAGCCCUGUGAGCUUAACUGAUUGAUUGUGAGUCUUAAAGAUGAGUGUGUCAAUAAAUAAAAUAUAAAGAAGAAA
rnacentral:misc_RNA from 1 species